UUACAGAGUUAUCAAAACUCCCAAACCCAUGUGCACAUACCUCGCGUUGCCUCGGCAGGUGGCGCCCCGCCCUGUGAGGGCCUACCCUGUAGGAGCUCACCCGGUGGUCGCCCCUGCCGACGGCCCACGAAACUCUGUUUUUUUAUAGCAUUAGACCUCUGAAAAGAUAACUAAAUAAGUUAAAACUUUCAACAACGGAUCUCUUGGUUCUGGCAUCGAUGAAGAACGCAGCGAAAUGCGAUAAGUAAUGUGAAUUGCAGAAUUCAGUGAAUCAUCGAAUCUUUGAACGCACAUUGCGCCCACCAGUAUUCUGGUGGGCAUGCCUGUUCGAGCGUCAUUUCAACCCUUAAGCCCCUGUUGCUUAGCGUUGGGAGCUUACCGGAAACCGUCCGGUAGCUCCCCAAAGUCAGUGGCGGAGCCGGUUCGCACUCCAGACGUAGUAGCUUUUACACGUCGCCUGUAGCGCGGGCCGGUCCCCUGCCGUAAAAACCCCAAAUUCUUAUAGGUUGACCUCGGAUCAGGUAGGAAUACCCGCUGAACUUAAGCAUAUCAAUAAGCGGAGGAAAAGAAACCAACAGGGAUUGCCCUAGUAACGGCGAGUGAAGCGGCAACAGCUCAAAUUUGAAAUCUGGCCCUCGGGUCCGAGUUGUAAUUUGUAGAGGAUGCUUUUGGCGCGGUGCCUUCCGAGUUCCCUGGAACGGGACGCCUUAGAGGGUGAGAGCCCCGUACGG
rnacentral:rRNA from 1 species